rnacentral:lncRNA from 1 species
CUCCAUCAAGGCAAGGCUGCAGGCCCGGAUCACAUCAGCCCCCGGGUCCUGAGGUCCUGUGCGGCCCAGCUGUCUGGCAUCCUGCAACACAUCUUUAACCUGAGUCUGUUGCAGGAAAGGAUUCCUGUGCUAUGGAAGACAUCUUGUUUAGUACCGGUGCCAAAGAUAGCCAUCCCAUCUGGCCCCAGUGACUUCAGACCAGUUGCCCUAACGUCACAUGUUAUGAAGGUACUGGAGAGACUGGUGCUGAUACAACUGAGACCACAGGUUAAAUCUUGUCUGGACCCUCUUCAGUUUGCCUAUCGGCCUCAUGUGGGUGUGGAUGAUGCCGUUGCUUAUCUGCUGCAUCGAGCUCAUUCACACUUGGAUGGUAGUGGCAGCACUGUGAGGAUCAUGUUUUUUGACUUCUCCAGUGCCUUUAAUACCAUCCAACCUCUUUUGUUGAGUGAGAAGCUGCUGGGGAUGGGUGUCAGUGCAUCUACGGUCUCCUGGAGCUCUGACUAUCUGUCAGGCAGGCCUCAGUUUGUACGGCUGGGGAGCUUCCUGUCUGAUGUUUUGGUUAGCAACACAGGAGCGCCACAGGGAACUGUUCUGUCACCAUUCCUGUUCACUCUUUACACCUCUGAUUUUCAGUAUGAUACUGAAUCAUGCCAUUUGCAGAAGUUCUCUGAUGACUCUGCAGUGGUGGGGUGUAUUAGAGAUGGACAAGAGUUGGAGUAUAGGCACCUGGUACAUAACUUUGUGGGGUGGUGCAGCAGGAAUCAUCUGCUCCUAAAUGUCAAGAAGACCAAGGAGAUGGUCGUCGACUUUAGGAAGACAAGAACUGCAGUCAGACCCAUAAAGAUCCUGGGGGAGGAGGUUGAGACUGUUCAGAAAUACAAGUACUUAGGUGUCCACUUGAACAGCAGUCUGGACUGGAGGGACCACACUGAUGCUGUGUACAAGAAGGGAAUGAGCAGACUCUAUUUUCUGAGGAAGCUCAGAUCUUUCAAUGUGUGCAGCAAGAUGCUGGAGAUCUUCUACCAGUCUGUUGUUGCGAGCGCCAUCUACUUUGCCGUGGUCUGCUGGGGGAGCAGCAUCAAUGCAAGAGAUGCAGGCAGGGUGAACAAGCUCAUUCGUAAGGCCGGCAGCAUCAUUGGACAGAACAUGGAGACGUUUGAGUCAGUGAGGAAUAGGAGGUCACUGAACAAACUGCUCUCCAUCAUGGACACUCCUUCCCACCCACUGCACAGCACGCUGCAGAGACAGCGUAGCUCAUUUUCUAAGAGACUCAUUCAGCUCCGCUGCCAUAAAGAACGGUUCAGGAAAUCAUUUCUAUUGUUCGCAAUAACUUUGUACAACAGCUCACCUCUGUGUGACAGAUGAACUAUUCAGCACUGUUGUUAGUUCAUCUUGUUACUGAUUGUACUACCGUUUUGUACAACUUGCACUUUACUGUUGC